AACGUAAGGAAUUGACGGGGGCCCGCACAAGCGGAGGAGCAUGUGGUUUAAUUCGAUGAUACGCGAGGAACCUUACCUGGGCUCGAACGUAAGAUGACUGUAGGUGAAAGCUUACAUCUCUUCGGAGCAUUUUACGAGGUGCUGCAUGGUUGUCGUCAGCUCGUGCCGUGAGGUGUCGGGUUAAGUCCCAUAACGAGCGCAACCCCUACCUUUAGUUGCCAUCAGGUAAUGCUGGGGACUCUAAAGGAACUGCCUACGCAAGUAGUGAGGAAGGCGGGGAUGACGUCAAAUCAGCACGGCCCUUACGUCCAGGGCUACACACGUGCUACAAUGGCCGAUACAGAGGGCAGCCACCCCGCGAGGGGGCGCUAAUCCUAAAAGCUGGUCCCAGUUCGGAUCGGAGUCUGCAACCCGACUCCGUGAAGCUGGAUUCGCUAGUAAUCGCGCAUCAGCCACGGCGCGGUGAAUACGUUCCCGGGCCUU
rnacentral:rRNA from 1 species